rnacentral:rRNA from 1 species
UACGGAAGGCAGCAGUGGGGAAUAUUGCACAAUGGGCGAAAGCCUGAUGCAGCUAUGCCGCGUGUAUGAAGAAGGCCUUAGGGUUGUAAAGUACUUUCAUCGGGGAGGAAAAAACAAAACUAAUAAUUUUAUUUCUUGACGUUACCCGAAAAAGAAGCACCGGCUAACUCCGUGCCAGCAGCCGUGGUAAUACGGAGGGUGCUAGCGUUAAUCAGAAUUACUGGGCGUAAAGAGCACGUAGGUGGUUUUUUUAAAGUCAGAUGUGAAAUCCCUGGGCUUAACCUAGGAACUGCAUUUUGAAACUGAAAUACUAGAGUAUCGUAGAGGGAGGUAGAAUUCUAGGUGUAGCGGUGAAAUGCGUAGAUAUCUGGAGGUUAAUACCUGUGGCGAAAGCGGCCUCCUAAACGAAUACUGACACUGAGGGUGCGAAAAGCGUGGGGAGCAAAACAGGGAUUAGAUACC